GAAGGAUCAUUGUUGAU
rnacentral:rRNA from 5 species